rnacentral:rRNA from 2 species
GGAUGCGAUCAUACCAGCACUAAAGCACCGGAUCCCAUCAGAACUCAAAAAUUAAGCGUGCUUGGGCGAGAGUAGUACUAGGAUGGGUGACCUCCUGGGAAGUCCUCGUGUUGCAAUCC